GCUCGCCUCGCCUGACAAGGAGAAUAUAAAUCUGAAGGAACAGAGUUGGAGCUGCGUCUGCAAGCGCCUCCAUGGUGCUGAGUGGGCGUAUGGCCGAGCCCACUUCACGACCUCCAUGGUGCCUAGCCACGGGCGCCGUCGGCCGCUUCAUCCAACCCGGGCUUCUACCCGUGAGGCCCCGGCCAGGGUUCUACGCGGCGAUCCAGGAGGCAUCGAGACCACGACGUAGGUGGCACAAUUUGAUGCAGAAAAACGGCACACCAGAAAAUUAUAAAGGCGUUGCUAUUAUUCUGCAUUAACAAGUGUUUUAUGCCCAAAUCAACGACUUGAAAAUUGUACGGAAAAAUCACUUUAUCAUUUCCAUAGAAGCUGGUUUUAAAAUGACUCCAAAAGAAGAUACAGAAC